CCAGAUAUUGUUAAAGAAGGGAAACGAUAACACCGCAGUCUGAGGGCAUUAUCUGUGCAUGUGCAAGACUCAGCUCAAGGAGAGUAAAAAGCAUCUGAUCUCUGUGCUAUAUUCACCACACCUGACUGAUUGUCUCUUCCGCCCUCCGAGACUCGAGUUCCCUAGACACUCAGUGAGAUGACAAGCAAGCUGGAAAAAGCCUUAGAUGACAUUAUCGAAGUAUACCACAAGUACUCUGAAAAAGAGUGCAACCCGGACGAUUACCUGCAGGAGACUUAGUUCAUAUAGCUGCUCAAAAAGGAGGUCAACUCAUUUCUGAUAUGCACUUUGCCGCACGGUAUGACUGAAGAAGACUACAUAAAAGACCUGUUUAAGAAGGCCAACAAAACCAGAAAUGAAUACCUCCAUUUCGAAGAGUUUGUUACCACCUUGGCGAAAUUGGCCAUACAUGCUCACAAUACCUCACACAAGGCUGUGAAGCAGGGUGAGGGGCAAGGGCAUGGACAUGCGCAUGGCCCCAAUUAAAUUGGGCAUGAACAUAAUUCUGGCCCUGCUCCUGGAAGCUCCUCUGGGCACGGGUGUCAUGGCUGUGGCACUAGCCCCAGCGAUGACCCUAACCACCGAAAUCAGGGAGACCCUUUGAGUUAAAACAAGAUGAGAUUUUGUAAAUAUCUAAUGUAACCAGAGAAUCUUUGCCUGCUUGGGCUGAUAAUGUAGCAAUAAAACUCGCCUCCAAUGCA